rnacentral:sRNA from 2 species
UGACUCCCUGCUUCUAAAUGAUCUGCUAUCAUAAGGAUGAGGAAGAAGAGUCCAGUAGGCAGGAAACCGAAGAGAAAAUACUCCUGGAUCCAAAUAGUGA